ensembl:lncRNA
GCCAAGCCUUUCUUUGGUUGUCUUCAUAGACAUAUUCCUAUAAAGCUUCUGAGGCUAAUUGUGGGGAAAAUGUGCCAGGUAGACUCCUUUCAUGCCAACCAUAAUUAAUACUAUUAUAGUCUUCAAGGCCAUAAUGCUCAUCAGUUAUUAAUUAGCAAUUCAUUUUGUUGAACAAAUAGCACUUAUGAUUGAUGAUAGAACUUGUAAUUGGGCACUAGAAGUGGCCCUCCUGGGACUGACUUACCAGCAGAUAUUAACCACGACACAGUAAUGAAAAACACAGAGGAUCAUCCCGGAAAAUCCAUGUUAAACAAUUGUGACACAGCCAAGGUGUUCCUUCUCAAUUGAAGAAAAUCCCAUCUUGAGUGUUGGGUCAUUUUGAGGUGUUAUCAUGACAUGUCCAGUUAGACUUGAGGGAAAAAAGUGCUUUUCCAAAAAGCAGAGAUAAAAUGCGGGUUCUUAGUCCACGGCUGCAAGGAAACCGAGAGCUUGGCAAAUAGAACCGGCAAAGCUUCUUUCUCUCUCGCUCGGUUGGAGCAGGACAACUGGAGCCGGUCAGCUGCUGACCAGAUGCUGCCUUCAAUUAAUAUGCCAACCCUCAAAGACAUUUAUCGCUCACUCUCAAAAGCAGAGCAGCUGACUAAUAAAAGGAACUACUAAAACCAUUUUUUUUUAGAGCAUUUGUAAUGGCUAAAUUGCUUGAAAUAAAUUAGCAAAAAAAAAAUAAACAUAGUUUGUACAGUAUCUGUAAAACAAAUUUCUAGUCUUGGGAAAAUAGACAAAGUGAGAGCUUGUAUUUAACAAGCACAUGCAAUAUGCUUCAUUAAGACAAGGCUUUUUUUUUCCCUUCUAAAUUUAAAAAGGGUUAAUAAACUCCAAGAUAUCAUUGCCAGUUAAACAGGUUCUGCACCAUUUUAAGGGAAGUAAGAGGUUACAAAGGAGACAGUUAAAAAGAAACCAAGAGACUGUGUUGUAGUGCUAACAGGCAAUUAACAAACUCAUGGGUGUUAAUUAUCUUCAUACUGUAUCAUGUUCAAUUAGCUUAGUCUCUGCAACAAAGGCAACGAUGAACAAUUGCUUUGAUAGGUGUACAGUACUUCAUUUGUAGUUAAUCGGUUUAAGCCCUCUGGUUGCUAGGUUACCUUGGUCUCCAGAGGUAAAAAGCUGUACAGAUGCACUAUGUUUAAAUGACUACAGAGAACUGUUUAAACUCAAACCAUGUAUAACUCUUUAUUGAUUUUUCACAG